ACUGGUGGGGCCUGUGCUGGUACGGGCGUCCGGCUGUUACCCGGAGUGUCGCAGGUUCGAUUCCUGCCGCCAGUG
rnacentral:tRNA from 1 species